rnacentral:rRNA from 1 species
AUACGUAGGGGGCGAGCGUUAUCCGGAAUUAUUGGGCGUAAAGAGUGCGUAGGUGGUUUUGUAAGCGCGGGGUGAAAGGCAAUGGCUCAACCAUUGUAAGCCCUGCGAACUGUGAGACUUGAGUGCAGGAGAGGAAAGUGGAAUUCCUAGUGUAGCGGUGAAAUGCGUAGAUAUUAGGAGGAACACCAGUGGCGAAGGCGAUUAUCGGUACUGUAACUGAACCUGAGGCAAGAACGCGUGGGGAGCAAACAGGAUUAGAUACGCUGGUAGUCCACGCCGUAAACGAUGAGCACUAGGUGUCGGGGUCGCAAGGCUUCGGUGCCGCAGUUAACGCAUUAAGUGCUCCGCCUGGGGAGUACGCACGCAAGUGUGAAACUCAAAGGAAUUGACGGGG